ensembl:snRNA U6 U6 spliceosomal RNA
GUGCUCACUUUGGCAGCACAUAGAUAAAAAUUAAAAUACAGAAAAGAUUAGCACAGCCCCUUUACAAGGUCGAUAUACAAAUUUGUGAAGCAUUUGAUAUUUUA